rnacentral:snoRNA from 13 species
AAGACUAUACUUUCAGGAAUCAUUUCUAUAGUCUGUUACUAAAUAUAUAUGGACCCAAUGCAGGAGCACCCAGAUACAUAAGGCAAGUUCUUAGUGACUUACAAAGAGACUUAGACUCCCACACAAUAAUAGUGGG